rnacentral:misc_RNA from 1 species
GGAAAAAAGUCGUAACAAGGUUUCCGUAGGUGAACUUGCGGAAGGAUCAUUCAUAAUAAAGUGUUUUAUGGCACUUUUUAAAAAUCCAUAUCCACCUUGUGUGCAAUGUUAGAUCUCGUCAAUCUUGGCGAGAUUUUUAUACAUCAACUCAUUCUUUAACUAAUUUGUCUGAAAAAUAUUAUGAAUACUUAAUUCAAAAUACAACUUUCAACAACGGAUCUCUUGGCUCUC